CUAUUGUUAUUCCAGAAACGGCUCCCUCCUUCUCCUCCUCCCCUGCUCGUACUCUUGCGAUUUUGUACUUUCUUCUUCUUCUUCUUCAUCGUCAUUAUCAUCAUCACAGGUCAGCUGAUCGACUUCAAUUCCUCUUUUCUCUAGUUCUACAUCUUCCAACAAAGAGACACGGUGAUAAGAUCUACGACACAGCGAAGUUUGAUGGAUGCAUUCACAUACUCAUUAUUUCUGCAUUACCCUAGACAUCGAUAGGGGUUGAAUGCAAAUGAGUUUUUAUCAAAGAAGAGAAAGUUGAUCUGUCGGCUCCACCAGGUUUUGUCUUACGUACAUCCGUCACUCUAAAGAAGAUGGAUAAAGGUGAAGUUUUGAUGAGUAAUAUGGUCUAUGUGGGGGUACAAAAGAGUGUCUGAGGCUUAAGAUAUCUCUUAGGUACAGACCAUGGGCACACUACAGUAAAUUAGGUGAUAGCUCGGAUGAGGAAUCUAUAGAUCAACCUCAUCGGGUUCAUCCUUGUACUGAAAGUUCGAAAAUUCUAACUGGCCUUCACAUUAUGAAAUUCACUAUAAUCAUAUUGUUGUAAUCUGAAUAUUUUUGUUCUUUAUUGUCAGCAUUUUCCUCCGAGGUAGUUCCUUCUUAAA